rnacentral:rRNA from 1 species
GAUGAACGCUGGCGGCGUGCCUAAUACAUGCAAGUCGAGCGAACAGACGAGGAGCUUGCUCCUCUGACGUUAGCGGCGGACGGGUGAGUAACACGUGGAUAACCUACCUAUAAGACUGGGAUAACUUCGGGAAACCGGAGCUAAUACCGGAUAAUAUAUUGAACCGCAUGGUUCAAUAGUGAAAGACGGUUUUGCUGUCACUUAUAGAUGGAUCCGCGCCGCAUUAGCUAGUUGGUAAGGUAACGGCUUACCAAGGCAACGAUGCGUAGCCGACCUGAGAGGGUGAUCGGCCACACUGGAACUGAGACACGGUCCAGACUCCUACGGGAGGCAGCAGUAGGGAAUCUUCCGCAAUGGGCGAAAGCUUGACGGAGCAACGCCGCGUGAGUGAUGAAGGUCUUCGGAUCGUAAAACUCUGUUAUUAGGGAAGAACAAAUGUGUAAGUAACUAUGCGCGUCUUGACGGUACCUAAUCAGAAAGCCACGGCUAACUACGU